GACGAACGCUGGCGGCGUGCCUAAUACAUGCAAGUCGAACGCAGUGGGGACGGGUGAGUAACACGUGGGUAACCUCCCAUCAGAGGGGAUAACACUUGGAUAAAGGCGCUAAAUCCCACAUGGGUGUAUGGACCCGCGGGGGAUUAGCUAGUCGGUGGGGUAACGGCUCACCAAGGCCACGAUGCAUAGCCGACCUGAGAGGGUGAUCGGCCACACUGGGACUGAGACACGGCCCAGACUCCUACGGGAGGCAGCAGUAGGGAAUCUUCGGCAAUGGACGAAAGUCUGACCGAGCAACGCCGCGUGAGUGAAGAAGGGUUUCGGAUCGUAAAGCUCUGUUGUUAGAGAAGCGGUAUCUAACCAGAAAGCCACGGCUAACUACGUGCCAGCAGCCGCGGUAAUAC
rnacentral:rRNA from 1 species